rnacentral:hammerhead_ribozyme from 1 species
AUCCAGCUGACAAGUCCCAAAUAGGACGAAACGUACAUGUCGGAU